rnacentral:rRNA from 1 species
UACGUAGGGGGCGAGCGUUGUCCGGAAUUAUUGGGCGUAAAGAGCUCGUAGGCGGUUCGUCGCGUCGGCUGUGAAAUCCCGAGGCUCAACCUCGGGUCUGCAGUCGAUACGGGCGGACUGGAGUUCGGCAGGGGAGACUGGAAUUCCUGGUGUAGCGGUGAAAUGCGCAGAUAUCAGGAGGAACACCGGUGGCGAAGGCGGGUCUCUGGGCCGAUACUGACGCUGAGGAGCGAAAGCGUGGGGAGCGAACAGG